GAGUUUGAUCAUGGCUCAGGAUUAACGCUGGCGGCAUGCCUAAUACAUGCAAGUCGAACGGAGUAGCAAUACUUAGUGGCGAACGGGUGAGUAACACGUAUCUAAUCUACCAUUUAGUGGGGAAUAACUGUUGGAAACGACAGCUAAUACCGCAUAAUAUUGCUGGAUAAUUUCCAGUAAUGAAAGGAGCUUUCAAGCUCCGCUGAUUGAUGAGGAUGCGGCGCAUUAGCUAGUUGGUAGGGUAAUGGCCUACCAAGGUAAUGAUGCGUAGCCGAUCUGAGAGGAUGAACGGCCACAUUGGGACUGAGACACGGCCCAAACUUCUACGGAAGGCAGCAGUAGGGAAUUUUUCACAAUGGGCGAAAGCCUGAUGGAGCAAUGCCGCGUGACUGAUGAAGGUCUUCGGAUUGUAAAGGUCUGUUGUAAGGGAAGAAAUGGUAAAACAGGAAAUGGUUUUAUCUAUGACGGUACCUUACCAGAAAGCCACGGCUAACUAUGUGCCAGCAGCCGCGGUAAUACAUAUGUGGCAAGCGUUAUCCGGAUUUAUUGGGCGUAAAGGGUGCGUAG
rnacentral:rRNA from 1 species